CUGAGAAGACUUUCAGGGAUCAUGUCUAUGGUUCAUUACUAGAGAAGUUUCUCUGAUCAUGCAGAGCACCUGAAACCAUGAGGAACCAGAGCAUCCUCUCCUGACAUGAGGCCAGUUUUAGGUGUUGCUUUUGCAACUGCCUUUUACCAUUGAUGAUUGCUCUGCUCUUCCAAGGAAAGGAAAGGGAAGGGGAAGGGGAAGGGGAAGGAGGAGGGAUGGG